rnacentral:lncRNA from 1 species
ACAUGUAAUAGAAAGUCACUUAAUAUGGGACGGGGAAAGUAUUAUCAAAGUCAGGCAAAACCAGACGACAAAGCCGAACACACUCUACCAAAAAAGAAAAACAAUAAUUCCACCAAACUACCACAAACCUUAUGAUACAGGCCGAAAACGAAAAUAGAUAACUCAUAGGCAAAGCCUUCAAAACGCUUCACGUGCGCCG